UCACAACACCACAUGCACAUACUCGUGGACACCUUUUUAAAUUAGCUCACCAGUACAGUUCAGUGGAUCUUAGAUCUCGAUUUUUCUCAUUCCGGUGUGUCCGUUUAUGGAAUUCUUUGCCUGACCAUGUUGUUGCUCUGAACUCGCUGCCAUCCUUCAAAUCAGCCCUUCACAGUCAUUUAGGCGACAUUCUGUACGACUUUGUGGAGUAAUAUGCAUACACACAUGUGCUGCUGUUUGCUGCACAAUAAUAUAUCCUGCAUUUCUGAACCGUUUCAAUGGGUACACAUUCCAGUCCACUCACAGUUUGUUACAAUCAUCCAGUAAUCUACAUCUAAAGUUGACUGGCGUACCCAUUUUCCUAGCUACCUUUUUC